UACUAUGGAAUAAAAAUGUUUUUGUCUAAUGAUAAUAAAUUGAAUUUAGGAACAAUAAUAACCCCGGACAAGUACUUGGGACCCGUCAUAUCACUGUGUAUGGAACGUAGGGGGAUCCAGAGGUCUGCAAAUAAUAUAGACAAUGAAAGAGUUAUAUUACAAUAUGAACUACCACUUUGUGAGGUUGUCUUAGACUUCCAUGAUACUUUGAAGACAAUUUCUUCAGGAUAUGCCAGCUUCGACUAUGAGGAUAAUGGAUACCAAAGUAGCAAUUUAGUUAAGUUAGCCAUACUGUUAAAUGGAACUCUGGUGGAUGAAUUAAGUAACAUAGUUCAUGUAACAAAGGCCAAAACCAUAGGACGACAGAUGGUACUGAAAUUAAAAGACAUUAUUCCUAGACAGUUAAUACAUAUAGCAAUCCAAGCUAGCGUAAAUGGCAAAGUGAUGGCCAGGGAGAACAUUAAGCCAUAUAGAAAAGAUGUCACUGCUAAACUUUAUGGUGGCGAUAUUACCAGAAGGAUGAAACUGUUAGCCAAUCAAGCAGCAGGUAAGAUAAAGUGAUGGCCAGGGAGAACAUUAAGCCAUAUAGAAAAGAUGUCACUGCUAAACUUUAUGGUGGCGAUAUUACCAGAAGGAUGAAACUGUUAGCCAAUCAAGCAGCAGGUAAGAAGAAAAUGAGAAUGGUUGCCAAUAUUUCCCUUCCUAGAGAAACAUUUAUUGAUGUCUUACGGAAAUAAAUAUAU
rnacentral:misc_RNA from 1 species